AUGAAACUCGUAAGCUGGAACUGCAGGGGUUUGCGGAAUCCCCGAGCAGUUCGAGCCUUGUCAAGGCUCAUCCGAAAAGAAAAUCCCUCUCUUAUCUUUGUUAUGGAAUCCCGUCUCAAGGAGCAGGAGUUUGGUUCUUUCAAACAUAAAUGCGGCUUUGAUCAUGUGUUUGGUGUUGGGUGUCAUGGGGAAGGGAGAGCGCGAACAGGAGGUUUAGCAAUGAUGUGGAGAGAUUCUUUAAAGAUAACAGUCACCAAUUAG